rnacentral:rRNA from 1 species
GACGAACGCUGGCGGCGUGCCUAAUACAUGCAAGUUGAGCGAUGAAGAUUGGUGCUUGCACCAAUUUGAAGAGCAGCGAACGGGUGAGUAACGCGUGGGGAAUCUGCCUUUGAGCGGGGGACAACAUUUGGAAACGAAUGCUAAUACCGCAUAACAACUUUAAACAUAAGUUUUAAGUUUGAAAGAUGCAAUUGCAUCACUCAAAGAUGAUCCCGCGUUGUAUUAGCUAGUUGGUGAGGUAAAGGCUCACCAAGGCGAUGAUACAUAGCCGACCUGAGAGGGUGAUCGGCCACAUUGGGACUGAGACACGGCCCAAACUCCUACGGGAGGCAGCAGUAGGGAAUCUUCGGCAAUGGACGAAAGUCUGACCGAGCAACGCCGCGUGAGUGAAGAAGGUUUUCGGAUCGUAAAACUCUGUUGGUAGAGAAGAACGCUGGUGAGAGUGGAAAGCUCAUCAAGUGACGGUAACUACCCAGAAAGGGACGGCUAACUACGUG